rnacentral:rRNA from 1 species
UGGGGAAUAUUGGACAAUGGAGGGAACUCUGAUCCAGCAAUUCUGUGUGUGUGAAGAAGGUUUUAGGACUGUAAAACACUUUUAGUAGGGAAGAAAAAAAUGACGGUACCUACAGAAGAAGCAACGGCUAAAUACGUGCCAGCAGCCGCGGUAAUACGUAUGUUGCGAGCGUUAUCCGGAAUUAUUAGGCUUAAAGGGCAUCUAGGCGGUAAGACAAGUUGAAGGUGAAAACCUGUGGCUCAACCAUAGGCUUGCCUACAAAACUGUUGAACUAGAGUACUGGAAAGGUGGGUGGAACUACACGAGUAGAGGUGAAAUUCGUAGAUAUGUGUAGGAAUGCCGAUGAUGAAGAUAACUCACUGGACAGAAACUGACGCUGAAGUGCGAAAGCUAGGGGAGCAAACAGG